GCCAAUUAGAAAGCAGCAGAACAGGCUUUAUGGAUACACAAAGAUCUUGCAAAUGACAGGCAAAGGAAAGCAAAUUACAGACUAGGUGGAUUUUGGGUCGGAUUCUGCAAGAACCUAAGGCACACAUCCACAGCAGAAAGAGGCAAUGGAGUAAGCUGUACCACUGCAGUGACAUGAAGGGAACCGACAAGCUUAACCCAGAGAACGCCAGCAGGGUAAUGAGUGUAACUAUGUUCUUGUAUGCAUUGCUUGAUAUGAAGAAACAGCAGCAUAGCAGGCUGUGGUACUUUGACUGACACAGGUUGUUCCAGUCUGCAAGAUAUGCUGUCCUCCCUCUCUAAGAGAAGCUUCUGUUGGAUACCCUAAGCUGCCAUUGAAAUACAACUGCAGAUUGAUUGGAUGUGCUGCUCAUCUGGAACAAAGUGCCCAUCAUUCAUUAAAAAUGCAUGACUAGUGGAUCAGGCAAAAUUCCCAGUCUCCUCGUUAGCUAGCAAAUUUACAAACACUGCUUAAGAACACAUUUAAACAAACUGAAAUUAAUUGCACAAAAUGUUUUUCCCCCUCUCAACGUCUAAUUGCUGUAGUGUUAACAGCACAAUCAGUUGUAGGUAGACAGCUCUUUUAACUCUAGCUAAAAUAAUCUUACAUAGCUAAUCAAAGCUAGAGAUUCACUGUUCCUUGAAAACUGUCUCUGCUCAGUUUCCCCUCCUCCUUUCCUGAUGACAAAAAUGCAAGUCUGCUUUCGCAGAAAA